CUCCUCUGCCAAACAGUUUUGACAAUAGGGUUACAUAUGUUACAUCAUUUUGUGCGGCUGGAGCUGGGCUAGUAUGGUAUGACUUUUGGUGUUUAUAACGUUUAUAGUUUUUGAAAUAUUUAGAUUUUAGUGCAAAUUUGGGCCAAUUUCUAGGCUCCUGAGAAAGAAAUGACUUUUGGCCCCAUAGAAACAGACUUUAUUUGUGGUGUGUUGGCUCUCUCUAGUGGUAUACCGGGAGUAGUACGGGCUAAAACUUUUAUUCUUGUCGGAAAACUCCAUAUCCCACAAUUCAUAGCACGCCUCUGCCAGUGAAACAAUGGCGGACACCACUUGGAUUCUAUAAUGCUUUUUUUGGUGUUUCUAGGUCACAAAAUAAUCUUUUACGACAUUUUCAGGCGAGAAUGUAGGUGUGUAAACUUCAAAUAUCUGCUCGUUUUAUCAAGACAUCCCAUAUUCUCUUACGUGUUGUUGAUAGCCGGCUAGCUAGCUAGCGCUGCUAGCCUCUGCCAGUGAAACAAUGGCGGACACCACUUGGAUUCUAUAAUGCUUUUUUUCGUGUUUCUAGGUCACAAAAUAAACUUUUAAGAUAUUUUCAGGCGAGAAUGUAGGUGUGUAAACUUCAAAUAUCUGCUCGUUUUAUCAGGACAUCCCAUAUUAGCGACAAUUCUCUUAUGUGUUGCUGAUAGCCGGCUAGCUAGCGCCGCUAGCGACCCUUCGUGAAAAAGCACCCAGGCUUGGCUUAUAUUGACGCGGGUGAAACUCGUGUCAGCACCCGGUCGCUCGCCGACAGUAUGUGUUUUAGCUGGACUUAUUUUUCGUUUAUAUGGACCGAUGAUUUAUUUAUUUAUUCAUUUUAGUAACGGUAUAAACAGUGAAAGGUGGUGGAUUGGCCAGAUGUAAACUUCAAAUAUCUGCUCGUGUUACCAAGACAUCCCAUAUUAGCUCUGAUGUUUUCGGUGCCUGCAAAGAGCUAGACAGGUAGCUAGCUAACCCGAGCUGGCUGUCUUUUUGACUCAGGGUCAUAGCUGGACUUAUUUUUCGUUUUUAUGAGCCGAUGAGGGGUUUUUUUUUAGUAACGGUACAAACAGUGAAAGGCGGUGGAUUGUCCAGAUGCUGGGCAGCUAUCCACCGGUGUGUGUCAGAAAGAACAUGCGGGGAACGAGGCGGCGAGGCGACCGCCGAUCGACCGGUGGUAGAUCAUGGAUCAGGGAAACCGAAGGCAGGAGAAGCAGGCGGCUGCCGGUCGGAGCGUGAGGUGAACUGAGUUUCAG
ensembl:lncRNA